UNUGCUUACUACCUCAUUUGCAUGUCUCAC
rnacentral:piRNA from 1 species